rnacentral:lncRNA from 1 species
GUCUCUGACGCCGGAGUUGAUGACGGACGACGGGUCGUCGAGCUCCCGGAUGUACGGCGGCCGCUUCCUCUGCAGGAUCUCCUUGUACUCCGGCUCCGAUCUCGGGUAGAACCACAGGAUGUUGUUCUGCACCACGCUCGGGGCGGGGGCCUGGGGGAUGAACUGGCAGGAGCCGUGGCCAUCGAAGCACCAGCCAUGGCGCACUGGAGGCAGCCCUUGCCGUCGACGCGUCCCUCGGAGAGCGGCGCGAGGCGGUGCGGGCACGCGUCGUCCACCACGCGCCACUCGCCGCCGCCGCCGUCGAACCACACGACGACGCUGAUGCCCAUCACCAUCUUCCCGUGCGGCUUGCGCUUGUCGAGGUCGCGCACCGGAGCCACCGGGUACCACUGGUCCAGCCAGUCGAACCGCUCCUCCCCUGCCGCCGGCGUCUCCUUCUCAUCCACGGCUCGUGGGAGCGGCGCCUCGGCCGCCACUGCCGACACCGGCAUUGACAGCCGCCGCCGCCGCGCGUCGGUGGGGCUGAUCCACUGCCGGCGCCAUGGUGGUAUUCUUGGUGUGCUCGGGUUGUGUCGCGGAAGGGAAGCGAAAGGCGGGUGA